UACAGAGGUCUCAAGCGUUGUUCGGAUUCAUUGGGCGUAAAGGGUGCGUAGGCGGCGGGGCAAGUCGGAUGUGAAAUCUCAGGGCUCAACCCUGAAACUGCAUUCGAUACUGCCGUGCUUGAGGACUGGAGAGGAGACUGGAAUUUACGGUGUAGCGGUGAAAUGCGUAGAUAUCGUAAGGAAGACCAGUGGCGAAGGCGGGUCUCUGGACAGUUCCUGACGCUGAGGCACGAAGGUCAGGGGAGCAAACGGG
rnacentral:rRNA from 1 species